CAAGGAUGAAGAAUUGCAUUAGAAAAGAAGUGGUCAGUGCUGGCCUGUCUUUCUUCUCUAGGAAAUAAGCAACGGGAGCCAGCAGAAGCAGUGCAGUGAUAUUCCUAUAAACAGGGAAAACAAGCUUGCUUAUGCCCAUGUUAAGUGCAGCUCUUAAAAUGACAUGGUUCCCUGCAUAUCCAAACUGAAAGAUUGUCAUGGCUAUUUGCAGCUUGGUGCGCUCAGGCACCGCACAC
rnacentral:misc_RNA from 1 species